rnacentral:rRNA from 1 species
GACGAACGCUGGCGGCGUGCUUAACACAUGCAAGUCGAGCGAUGAAGUUUCUUCGGAAAUGGAUUAGCGGCGAACGGGUGAGGAACACGUGAAGAAUCUGCCCUCCACUUUGGGAUAACACAGGGAAACCUGUGCUAAUACCGAAUAUUGAAACAUAAGUGGCAUCACUGAGUUUUGAAAGAACUUCGGUGGAGGAUGACUUCGCGGCCUAUCAGCUAGUUGGUGAGGUAAUGGCUCACCAAGGCAACGACGGGUAGCCGGCCUGAGAGGGCGACCGGCCACACUGGGACUGAGACACGGCCCAGACUCCUACGGGAGGCAGCAGUGGGGAAUAUUGGGCAAUGGAGGAAACUCUGACCCAGCGACGCCGCGUGCGGGAUGAAGGCCUUCGGGUUGUAAACCGCUUUCAGUAGGGAAGAAGCGAAAGUGACGGUACCUACAAAAGAAGCACCGGCUAACUAUGUGCCAGCAGCCGCCGCGG